rnacentral:lncRNA from 1 species
GAUAUGCAGUAUUAUAUUCAUGAUAUAAAAUGUGUACUAUUCUGACAUAUCAGGAGGGGCAAUUUUUUGUUUCUCCUUAUGCAACAUGCUGGUCCAGAGCACUAGCAGAUUUUAGGAGAGGAGCUUUUGCCUAGUGAAAGGAGUACCAGGUGGCCUUACUCUGUUUGCCCCCAAGGGGAAAAAAGCAUUCAGUUACAUUGUAAUGGGGAUGUUAUAAUGUUCAGUUAAAUUUCUUUAUUCUCUCAUUUUGUUUUUUUUUUAAAUGGAAAAAUUAAACAUUUAAAAUAAUCAGAAGAUUAUUCAAGUCAGCAUUACAGAAAUAUCCCUUGGUGUAUACAGUAGAACCAUUUCUUCAGUUUGCUGUGACACAGUUUUCAUUUAUUGAAUCUAUUGUUAACACCCACUAUAAGUGUAAUAAUUACAGUUCCUAUUAUGUAGCACUUGAUGGUUUACAAAGUGAUUUACCUACAUUACUUCAUUUGAUCCUCACAUCAGUACUGAGGUAUGUAAUGCACAGCAUUAUUAUUAUUAUCUCUGUUUUAUAGAUGGAAAAACUGAGGCCUCAAGAAGUUGUGAGUUGUCCAGGGAUUCUAGUUAGUAAAGGACUAAGCUAGACAUUGAACCCAAGUCUGCUUUUUACAUUUCGUCACAACUGCUUCUCAUUGUAGAAUUUGGGAAUGAUGCUGAGGUUGAAGAGGAGGCUGCCAUGUUGGUAAUUUAGCACUGGAUUUAUAUGAAAAAUAUGGAAAAUUAUGAGGGAAAUGUAGGCUUUGACCUCUCUAAGAUGCCGCUAUCAAAUGUUGCACAGAGGAUUAUGGCAGCCAUGCAUUCAUUUGAUUUAGUGGAGAUUAAGAAUUUCAGAGAAAAUGAAAAAAAUGAGAAGAUGGUACAUUAUUCCAGCGUAAAGGAUAUACUUCUGGAAAAUAAGGCAAGUAUAUCACUGGAAAAAGGUAGAUAUUAG